GCGGUAAGGCUCCUUCGGGAGUACACGAGCGGCGAACGGGUGAGUAACACGUGAGUAACCUGCCCCUCACUCUGGGAUAACCCCCGGAAACGGGAGCUAAUACCGGAUACGACCACUUCGGGCAUCCGACGGUGGUGGAAAGUUCCGGCGGUGAGGGAUGGACUCGCGGCCUAUCAGCUUGUUGGUGAGGUAACGGCUCACCAAGGCUUCGACGGGUAGCCGGCCUGAGAGGGUGACCGGCCACACUGGGACUGAGACACGGCCCAGACUCCUACGGGAGGCAGCAGUGGGGAAUAUUGGACAAUGGGCGAAAGCCUGAUCCAGCAACGCCGCGUGAGGGAUGACGGCCUUCGGGUUGUAAACCUCUUUCAGCAGGGACGAAGCGCAAGUGACGGUACCUGCAGAAGAAGCACCGGCCAACUACGUGCCAGCAGCCGCGGUAAUACGUAGGGUGCGAGCGUUGUCCGGAAUUAUUGGGCGUAAAGGGCUCGUAGGCGGUCUGUCACGUCGGGAGUGAAAACUCGGGGCUUAACCCCGAGCCUGCUUCCGAUACGGGCAGACUAGAGGUAUGCAGGGGAGAACGGAAUUCCUGGUGUAGCGGUGAAAUGCGCAGAUAUCAGGAGGAACACCGGUGGCGAAGGCGGUUCUCUGGGCAUUACCUGACGCUGAGGAGCGAAAGUGUGGGGAGCGAACAGGAUUAGAUACCCUGGUAGUCCACACCGUAAACGUUGGGCGCU
rnacentral:rRNA from 1 species